UACGAAGGGGGCUAGCGUUGCUCGGAAUGACUGGGCGUAAAGGGCGCGUAGGCGGAUGGCACAGUCAGAUGUGAAAUUCCCGGGCUUAACCUGGGGGCUGCAUUUGAUACGUGUGAUCUGGAGUGAGGAAGAGGGUCGUGGAAUUCCCAGUGUAGAGGUGAAAUUCGUAGAUAUUGGGAAGAACACCGGUGGCGAAGGCGGCGACCUGGUCCUUGACUGACGCUGAGGCGCGAAAGCCAGGGGAGCAAACGGG
rnacentral:rRNA from 1 species